CCCAUUUACCUAUUUUUCAUCUAAUUUUAACUAUAUUAGAUUGGUUUAUGCAAAAGCUUUAAAAUUUUUUAUUAUACCUUUUUAUUGACAGAACAUACACAUGGGUAAUUUUUGCAAAAUUGUUCCUUGCACUCACUUCUGUUUCAACUUUUCCCUUCCCUCCCUCCAGCCCCCUCCCCUAAAUGGCAGGCAGUUUCAUACAUGCUAAACAUGUUAAAGUAUAUCUUAGAUACAACAUAUGUGUCCAGAUCCGUACAGUUCUCUUGUUGCAUAAGAAAAAUUGGAUUCAGAAGGUAAAAAUAACCUGGGAAGAAAAACAAAAAUGCAAGUAGUCCACAUUCAUUUCUCAGUGUUCUUUCUCUGGGUGUGUAGCUGAUUCUGUCCAUCAUUGAUCAACUGGAACUGAACUGGAUCUUCUCUUUGUUGAAGAUAUCCACUUCCAUCAGAAUUGAUCCUCAUACAGUAUUGUUGUUGAAGUGUAUAAUGAUCUCCUGGUUCUGCGCAUUUCAUUUAGCAUAAGUUCAUGUAACUCUCUCCAAGUCUCUCUGUCUUCAUCCUGCUGGUCAUUUCUUACAGAACAAUAACAUUCCAUAACAUUCAUAUACCACAAUUUACCCAACCAUUCUCCAAUUGAUGGGCAUCCACUCAGUUUCCAAUUUCUGGCCACUACAAAGAGGGCUGCCACAAACAUUUUGGCACAUACAGGUCCCUUUCCCUUCUUUAAUAUCUCUUUGGGAUAGAAACCCUGUAGUAACACUGCUGGAUCAAAGGGUAUGCCCAGUUUGAUAACUUUUUGAGCAUAAUUCCAAAUUGCUAUUCAGAAUGGCUGGAGUCCGUUAGACUUCUGCUAACUUUUUCAGUAGUCUUUGUUAAAUAGUGAGGUUUUCCUUUAAUAUUUUGGUUUAAGUUUAUGGAACACAAUGCUACUAUGUUGCUUCUUUAUGCUAUAUUUUUAAUUUUUUCUAUUGACUAAUUUUUUCAACCAGUCUAAAUCAUUUUAAUGAUGAACAAUUUAUAGUAUAGUUUGAGAUCUAGUACCUCUAGAUCUACUUUUUUUCAUUAUUACCCAUUAAUUUCUUAAUUUUUUGAUACUUAUCAAAUUUUUUACUGUUUUUUCUAGCUCAGUAAAAUAUAUUUUUGGUAGUUUAAUUGGCAUGACACUGGAUAAAUAAAUUAAUUUAGCUAAUAUUGUAAUUUUUAUCAUAUUGCUCAAUCUAACCAUGAAAAAGUUUUAGGAAUGAUCUUUAGACCUCUUCGUUGCUGUAACUACUUUACCCUGAUUAAACUUCUAGGAAAUUAAGAUACUCAAAGUCAAUAUAUUUACUUUUUAUUUAUUUGCCAUUUUUUUAUAGCUAAGCAAACUGCUAAGAACUAAAACUAAUGUAUUACUUUUUAUUCAUAUCAUAUUUUUAAAAAAUUAAUUUCUUUUUAAAGAGCCAAGUUUGUUUAAAUAGGUUGGCUCAGAGUUUUGAUUUCCCCAUCUUUCUUCUUUCUUCUAAUUUUGUAGUAAUUUUGAUCUUUGACCAGCUAAUAAUCUGAAUGCUUUCAAAUAAUUGGUUCUAAAAUAAUUCACAUGUUGGUAACCAGUUGCUUCUUAUCUGAUAAAAUGUGGUCAGUGUCAGUUUUUAUGGUUGUUAACCUUCCUAGUAGUAAGUAUUUAUGAGAUACAGGCACAAGACUCCUGAAUAAUCUAUAAGCUCUGGCAUCUUAUUUUCCAACAUAUUUCUCUCUUCCCUUCCCUGGCUCCUAUACGUCAAAGUUACAUAGUAAAUAUUUAAUAAUUGCUUGUUCACUGAUAUGUUAAUUUUUAAAGAUUUUUUUGUAGAAUUAUUUUCAUCUUCUGUAAUAAAUCUUGGUAUAAUAAGCUGCAUCUAUCUUUAUGGUUCUCAAGUUCUGCAAGGUGAUAUGACCAUGUAGCUGAGCAAAUGAAAGUUUUUUAGUCUUUGGAUGCAAGAUGAAACCAACUCUUCCAAUUUAUUUGCUUUUUUGAGGAAAACUAAUGAAUCAUCCUUCCAUCUAACUGUAAUUUCUUUAGGUUUUCUGGUUUCAUUUCUGGUGACAAUAUCUAUAGAUAACAUUUAGUUCCCUCAACAGUGUAUUAAAUUGUUUGUUAACAAAGACUUCACAUUUAGAAUAUAAAUAUUUAGAUUGAGGAUCCUUCAAGCUGGAAAAGCCCCAGAAUAUUUUACUUGCAGAUAGUAAUUGUUCUUAGGAAUCUUAGGUAGAGUAUGAUACAAGAGGAAAAAGCAUAAGAAUUAGAAUAAGAGCUGGGUUGGCUCUAUUACUUUCAAGCCCUGACUUUGGGAAAGUUGGCAAAUGACUUAAAAACUAUGAGAUUCUUAGCACACUUUGCCAUUGACACUAAAGAUAAAGAGGAAUAGAUUGGAACUUCUCCACACUUAGUGAAGCUGGUUCUUUACUCAGGAGGCACAUUCUGUUAUUAAGACUAUACAUAUUCUAAGCCUCUUGCGAUUAACUGACCCAGUUAGAAUUUUUGUUGUGCUGGCAAAAAUUUCACAAAUUCUAUAUCAUUUACAUGUCACAAGAUGAUGUUAGAACAGACUUCUGGAGAAGCUAUAUGAUUUAGCAUUAAGUUAACAUGGGUUGUGGAGAACAGGAUUUUCUGACAUUAAAAGCACAUAAAUUGAUAAAUGCAAUAUUUAAGAGAAUUCUUUAUUGUGUCCCCUGGCAUGUGGAUGAAUUAAGCAGCUGCCUAUCUUUCUUACUCUUGGUUCUAGUCCUGUUUCUAAGCAAUCUGAAGCUAUAUUUGUCAUUUGCUCUCCUUUAAUGCCAUAUUUUUUAUGAUUUAAUUUUUCAAUUAAUUCAAGUGGAGGAGGGAAAUAAAAAAAAAAUUACAGAGCAUCUACUAUGAACCGAGUUUUAUAUGUUCUGCACAGGGUCUAUAAUACUGUGGGAAACUAAUAAACCUCAAAAAAAUCAAACAGUGAUUUGAUCCCAAGGUGGACACAGUACAGGGACUCAGAUGAUACAGAGAGCAUGGUACAGAGAGGAAAUAGCCUCAUUUGUUUCUUUAUCCUGCUUCAAAGUCACUGUACCUAUAGGAAUACAACAUAGAUUGAUUCUGGAAAUUAUUAAUGUUUGUGAAUGACUUGAAAACUGUAUGAGUCUUAACAACCUGUGCCUGCUUCUCCACUAUUCUCAGUGUAGAAGUAGGUCCCGUAGGAGCCUUUAUUUAUGUAGGCUGUUUUUCAUGCAGAAGCAGCAUCACCAGGACCCCACAGAAAGCUUUUCCAUCUUAGCUGAACUUGCCAGAAUUUGAGUUCUGCUUGCAUAUGGCUUCAAGACAUGAGUGCAGAGUGUACUCUGCACUUAAUUUCCUUAUCUUUAAAAUAAGUGGGAUAGACUAGUCGAUUUUUAGUUGGGAAGCAUUAUGAUACAAAGGAAAAUAUGCUAGAUUUGGAAUCAAAGGAUCUAGGUCCAAAUGUUGCUUUUUCCACUCAUCAUCUGUAAGAUUUUGAAGCUGUAUGUUCUUCAUCUAUAAAAUGAAGGAGUUGGAUUAGUUCUGGAAAGUCUAAAUCUUAUUUUAUUUAUGUAGCUAUUUGCAUACAUAACGUUUAUGCAUAUGUACCUGCACAUAUCCAUACAUAUACACUUUACAAACUUUUAAGAUGGCAGCAAUUCAAAUUCAUAUAGUGCAAUGACAAAUACUGCGUCCAUUAUUUUAUUUGAACUUAAAACUCCCCAUAUAAAGUCAGUCGGUCAGGGAUUUCUAUUUCCAUUUACCAGGAGCCAAUGUUGUACAGUUGGAAGAAUGCUAGACAGUACAGCAGUUCUGUCAUUUAGUAGCUGAAGAUUAUAGGCAGUUUUUGCCUCUGCCUCAGUUCCCUCAUCUGUAAAAUUUGCCAGAAUUUGAGUUCUGCUUGCAUAUGGCUUCAAGACACGAGGUUCAUCUCCCCACCAUGAUGCUUUAUCACAUACCUCCAAACUGGGUCAGAACAAGAAUGUUUCACCUGGGCAUUCACAAUUUGGGUAGAAAGACCGUUGUUAAUUGUUCUUGGUAGGUAGAAAAUGAUGUUGAAGGAAAAGUGCAGUAAUCAGAAUCACAAGAACUGGGUUCAAACUUUGGCUCUGUUACUUUUUAAAGCAUAAUCCUUAUAUUCCUUCCCUCAGAGCUGCGGAGGAAAGUGCUUUGAAAUUGUAAAGCUCUGGAAAACCUUAUUUUUAAAAUUCCCAUCAGCGGCCAAUGCACAUUUCUUUCCCAAAUUCAGUUUUCCUAUCUACAAAAGGAGGGGGUUAAGCUAGAUGAUCUCUAAAUACCUUAUGAUCUGUAAAAUGGGGAUAAGAACACUUCCUCGUGGUUCUAGUUGUUUCUAAGCAAUCACACUCGCCUCACAGGGAUUGUUGAGAAUUGUAAAUCGUCAAAAAAAGCUUGAACAACAACUCACAUUUCUACAGAUUUUCCCUUCCCAUUCCUCUUGUACAGUUAGUUUCAAAGCAGUCGGGCCAGAAGCCAGCGUCUUUCUUCCCUUUCCCGUUGGCACCUAAUAGGCCUUGUCCUCGUUCCACAUCCUCUUCUUGGGCCUGGCUGAGCCAGUCUCCGGGGCGACCUCCUCCCGGGACUCGGGUCGAGCCUCUGUUUCCAUAGAAACGCAGCUCUUCGCCGUCCCGCCCCCCUCAUAGCCAUGAUGGACAAGUUGGAGUCUCGUUGCCACAGUGAUCCCAGGUAGAGGCACUAAAUCCGAGUUUAGUCGCCAUGGAGACUAUAGGGAAAGAGGGUUGGGAGGCGGGGAAAGCGAUUCUCUUUGUGGGAGAGAAGCCAGGGAAAGACAAGUAUCCAAAGUCGUCCCUCUUUAAUUAAAAAAAAAAAAAAGGGCGUA
rnacentral:lncRNA from 1 species